CCGCCGAUCGUCUUAAAAUCCGUAAGGGUGAGACUGUAAAUCUUGAGGUCGCUGGUUUGAUCCCGGCUUGGGGGA
rnacentral:tRNA from 1 species